AUUGAACGCUGGCGGCAGGCUUAACACAUGCAAGUCGAACGAUGAAGAUAUAGCUUGCUAGAUCGGAUUAGUGGCGGACGGGUGAGUAACACUUAGGAAUCUACCUUUUAGCGGGGGAUAGCUCGGGGAAACUCGAAUUAAUACCGCAUAAUUUCUACGGAAUAAAGAGGGCUUUUAGCUCUCACUAGAAGAUGAGCCUAAGUAAGAUUAGCUAGUUGGUGGGGUAAAAGCCUACCAAGGCGACGAUCUUUAGCUGGUCUGAGAGGAUGAUCAGCCACACUGGGACUGAGACACGGCCCAGACUCCUACGGGAGGCAGCAGUGGGGAAUAUUGGACAAUGGGGGCAACCCUGAUCCAGCCAUGCCGCGUGUGUGAAGAAGGCCUUUUGGUUGUAAAGCACUUUAAGCAGUGAAGAAGACCUAUUGAUUAAUACCCAAUAGCGAUGACAUUAACUGCAGAAUAAGCACCGGCUAACUCUGUGCCAGCAGCCGCGGUAAUACAGAGGGUGCAAGCGUUAAUCGGAAUUACUGGGCGUAAAGCGAGCGUAGGUGGUUAAAUAAGUCAGAUGUGAAAGCCCUGGGCUCAACCUAGGAACGGCAUCUGAAACUAUUUAACUAGAGUAGGUGAGAGGGAAGUAGAAUUUCAGGUGUAGCGGUGAAAUGCGUAGAGAUCUGAAGGAAUACCGAUGGCGAAGGCAGCUUCCUGGCAUCAUACUGACGCUGAGGCUCGAAAGCGUGGGUAGCAAACAGG
rnacentral:rRNA from 1 species